rnacentral:lncRNA from 1 species
CAUGAAAGCAAGAUUAAUGAAAGGAGUGUUGUCUCAGAGACCCCAUAGAGAGAGUACAGAGUGAGGCAAUAGAGAGACAAUCAAAGGUCGUGCCUGAGCCAAACCCACAUUCAGCAGAGCAGCAGGAGAUGGACCUUGGUGUGGAUAAACAGACUUGAAAUGAGCACACAUGCACCUGGUGAGCAUUUUCCACAACUGGUUGUAAAUGUUGCUAAGUCAUUGUG